UACGUAGGGUGCAAGCGUUGUCCGGAUUUAUUGGGCGUAAAGAGCUCGUAGGCGGCUUGUCGCGUCGGAUGUGAAAGCCCGGGGCUUAACUCCGGGUCUGCAUUCGAUACGGGCAGGCUAGAGUGUGGUAGGGGAGAUCGGAAUUCCUGGUGUAGCGGUGAAAUGCGCAGAUAUCAGGAGGAACACCGGUGGCGAAGGCGGAUCUCUGGGCCAUUACUGACGCUGAGGAGCGAAAGCGUGGGGAGCGAACAGG
rnacentral:rRNA from 1 species